rnacentral:lncRNA from 1 species
UUUUAUUUAUUUAUUUAACCACACAUUUUUCAGAUAUAUGUUUAAUUUAGUUUUUCUAUUUUUUAUAUUGUGUAUUUUACUUACUGUUUAUCUUUUCUUAUUUUUUUUUUUUUUGUUUUUUCAACCCCUUCAAAUUUUACAUUCAGCCCAGUCGAAGCCCAAUUAUAAACAUGAUACAGAUUAAGAAAACACGUGUUUUGUGUUAAAUAAUCCCUAAUGCAUGAACGACACGUGCGUCUUGAUGUUGGAGUUCGACUUUUCUGGAAACUGGAGAUGGCGCCAUCGGUUUCGCCGGAAACCUACCCGAACAGCAACCUUCAGCUACAACCUUCGGCCUGUUGAUCUACUUGACUCCAUUCCUUGUUCGCCGUCGAUUCUACUUGAUUCUUCAUCUUCUCGGUAGAGGUGAAUUACGGUGAGUAGCUUCAGAGAGAUAAAGGCAGGGCCUUGCUAGAACGCUUUCAAAGAAGAAAACUCCAGCUUAAUCUGAACCUGUAUCAUCUCCCCACGCUUGAUCAAUCUUCUUAAUCUCUAACCUUCAAAGGAUACUCUGCCAUAAACUGAGCUAGCGAAGAUUGUUUCCUUAUAUAGGAAAGAAAUUAAGCAUAACUAACAAGAAGAUUGGAAUUUUGUAAAACCAUACGGGAUAUGAAUUUGUAAAGAACAGAGAAAACGGAUUUAAAACACAACAAAAUCGCCUUAUGCGAAAAGAGAAAUCGCCAAGCGAAGGGUAAAUCGAUCUAAUGAUCGAAAGGAUUAUGAACAUCAAAAGGAUCUGAUCUAUUGAUCAGAAAAAACAAAAGGAUUGAGUUUUCUCUUCAUCCCCUCUGUGAAAGAUUUUAGUGUGAG